CCGACGGUGAGGGACGAAGCCCUGGGGCGCAAACGGGAUUAGAUACCCCGGUAGUCCAGGGUGUAAACGCUGCGGGCUUGGUGUUGGGGGUCCUUUGAGGGCGCCCAGUGCCGGAGAGAAGUUGUUAAGCCUGCUGCUUGGGGAGUACGUCCGCAAGGAUGAAACUUAGAGGAAUUGGCGGGGGAGCACCGCAACGGGAGGAGCGUGCGGUUCAAUUGGAUUCAACACCGGACAACUCACCAGGAGCGACGGUUACAUGAAGGCCAGGCUGAUGACCUUGCCUGAUUUUCCGAGAGGUGGUGCAUGGCCGUCGUCAGUUCGUACCGUAAGGCGUUCUCUUAAGUG
rnacentral:rRNA from 1 species